GAUGAACGCUGGCGGCGUGCUUAACACAUGCAAGUCGAACGAAGCACUUAUUUGAUUUCCUUCGGGACUGAUUAUUUUGUGACUGAGUGGCGGACGGGUGAGUAACGCGUGGGUAACCUGCCUUGUACAGGGGGAUAACAGUUGGAAACGGCUGCUAAUACCGCAUAAGCGCACAGCAUCGCAUGAUGCAGUGUGAAAAACUCCGGUGGUAUAAGAUGGACCCGCGUUGGAUUAGCUAGUUGGUGAGGUAACGGCCCACCAAGGCGACGAUCCAUAGCCGACCUGAGAGGGUGACCGGCCACAUUGGGACUGAGACACGGCCCAAACUCCUACGGGAGGCAGCAGUGGGGAAUAUUGCACAAUGGGCGAAAGCCUGAUGCAGCGACGCCGCGUGAGCGAAGAAGUAUUUCGGUAUGUAAAGCUCUAUCAGCAGGGAAGAUAAUGACGGUACCUGACUAAGAAGCACCGGCUAAAUACGUG
rnacentral:rRNA from 1 species